GUGGGGAAUUUUGGACAAUGGGCGCAAGCCUGAUCCAGCAAUGCCGCGUGCAGGAUGAAGGCCUUCGGGUUGUAAACUGCUUUUGUACGGAACGAAAAGCCCUGGGUUAAUACCCUGGGGUCAUGACGGUACCGUAAGAAUAAGCACCGGCUAACUACGUGCCAGCAGCCGCGGUAAUACGUAGGGUGCGAGCGUUAAUCGGAAUUACUGGGCGUAAAGCGUGCGCAGGCGGUUUUGUAAGACAGAGGUGAAAUCCCCGGGCUCAACCUGGGAACUGCCUUUGUGACUGCAAGGCUAGAGUACGGCAGAGGGGGAUGGAAUUCCGCGUGUAGCAGUGAAAUGCGUAGAUAUGCGGAGGAACACCGAUGGCGAAGGCAAUCCCCUGGGCCUGCACUGACGCUCAUGCACGAAAGCGUGGGGAGCAAACAGGAUUAGAUACCCGUGUAGUCC
rnacentral:rRNA from 1 species